rnacentral:rRNA from 1 species
GGGGGGGGGGGGGGGGGGGGGGGGGGGGGGGGGGGCGGGCGGGCGGGCGGGGAGCGGGCGCCUCUGGCGUUGGCGGGGGAGGGGUGGGGAGGACGUGGCUAGCCUACCUAUAAGGCUGGGAUAACUGCGGGAAACCGGAGCUAAUGCCGGAUACUAUAUUGAACCGCAUGGUUCGAUAGUGAAAGGCGGUUUGUCUGGCACUUAUAUAUGGAGUCGCGUCGCCUUAGCUAGUUGGUAAGGUAACGGCUUACCAAGGCUACGAUGCGUAUGCGACCUGAGAGGGUGAUCGGCCACACUGGAACUGAGACACGGUCCAGACUCCUACGGGAGGCAGCAGUAGGGAAUCUUCCGCAAUGGGCGAAAGCCUGACGGAGCAACGCCGCGUGAGUGAUGAAGGUCUUCGGAUCGUAAAACUCGGUUAUUAGGGAAGAACAAAUGUGUAAGUAACUAUGCACGUCUUGACGGUACCUAAUCAGAAAGCCACGGCUAACUACGUG